CCACAACCGCCGCCGCCCCUGGUGCCGGCCUACCUCUCGCCGCCGACCACCCCAGCCCCAUCGCCGCUCCCGACCCCGACGCGCCUCCCGCCGCCAGCCGCCCCAACACCCAUGUUUCCAACCGGCCCACCCCACAGGCCGCCGCCCUCCUCCAAUCAUGCCUUCGACUGCCCCCUCCUCCAAUCGCGCUGUCGGCCGCCCCCACCUCCAACUGCGCCGCCGCUGGCCCCUACCACCACCGGUGCUGCGGCCAGGCCCAAUCUUCAACCACGUCGCCGUCGAGGCCCGACUUCCAAACGUGUCAGCGCCGGGCCCCUACCUCCACUCACGCUACCACCGGGCCCUGACAAGCGGCCCUCCAGCUAACCACCACUUCCCCUCCCGCCGCACGUGCCCUCCGGCCAACUACAGCCUCCCCACCCCGUCCCGCUCGUCUCCCGGCCAACCAUCCCCUCCCCAUCCCUCUGACCUCGACCUACAACUGGUUGUGGUCUCGACCUGCAGUAGGGGGGUCUCGAGCUGUAGCUGGUCCGCUGAUAGGGAUCAUCUUCUCUUGCAGAGAUCCAUCGAUGUUCCUUGCUGAUGGCUGCCCGAGCUAUGAGAAUAAUCGGCCUCCAACCGCCUCGGCCGCUCACCAACACGCCCACCUGCAGUUCAGUUCAAUCUGGUUUGUUGAAGAAGGUCGACUCUAUCCUGGACAACACACAGCCUCCUCCCAGUGGGGCCCAUCACGCUCAGGUCGUUCGUCGCUGCCACCUCCGGCCGUUCAACUACGCAGCACUAAGACGUUCAUCGCCAUCAGAAACAACGACGAGCACGAAGACACCCUCUCAUGCUCAGUGCGUUGUCCGGCAUAACACAAGAAGUUCAUGUAAAACAGCUACGAACAUUCAGCUCGCCCCUCCUCCAUCGAUGGCCUACACUGGUCGCUAGAACCCGUCCAGGUGCUGGUCGUCAUCCUCUAUCUUCAAUUACGAGUCAGCAACAAUGCUGCGAAUAGAAAGGGCCCUGUGAAGUUCAAUUUGUUUUGCUUUCCGAAGUUCAGUUUGUUGAUUUUCUGAAGUUUGGAUUGUUAGUUUUUUUGAAGAGAAAGGUUGAUUCACUUGCACUCCUCUAUCUAGUCCUGUGUGGUGAUAUCCUCGACUCCUCGGUUCGGAGCUAGCAACGGUUCUUCAACUUCCCUACUGCGUUGUCGCGAUUGUUGGUAAAUAAUCCUUGUUCUACUAUUGCCUUGUAGUAAUGCUGGAUGGGUUCCCCCUUGAUUUGGAACCAUAGUAAUACAAGUUUGUCUCUGCGCUCCUAUUCCUGUGAUUACAAUAGCAGACAAAAGUACCAAGGAGCCAAAUUUUAUACUUUGUUCAUCUACGGUGCCAAGUUGAGCGGACACUGUAGCACUCGAGAAGAUGGGGAGAGGAUGUGUGGUGAAGAGAAAACAUAGGGUUUCAAAAUUGUCCAUUGGUGGUAGCAUCUAAUCAUUUUAUCCAAAGUGUAAUGGACAUGUGUAUGUAUGUACAGUAGCAUAUUUUACUCGAACCGAGUUAUUUUUUU